UGAAUUCCAAUCUUCAUACACACCUUAGAACAACAUUUGUUUUCCUAUUUAAUACAAGUUUUAAAAUGUUGGUGUGUCCGGAUUCCAAUAUCCAUACACACCCAUGAGGCAACAUUUGUUUGUCUAUUUUCAUAUAAGUUGCUAAACAAGGUGUAUCCAGAUCCCAAUCUCUGUACACACCUAUGAGACUUUUUUUUUUGUUUAUUUUCAUAUUAGUUGCAAAACAGGGUGUGUUCGGAGUACAAUAU
rnacentral:lncRNA from 1 species